UACGAAGGGUGCAAGCGUUAAUCGGAAUUACUGGGCGUAAAGCGUGCGUAGGCGGUUGGUUAAGUCUGUCGUGAAAGCCCUGGGCUCAACCUGGGAAUGGCGAUGGAUACUGGCUAGCUAGAGUGUGAUAGAGGAUGGCGGAAUUCCCGGUGUAGCGGUGAAAUGCGUAGAGAUCGGGAGGAACAUCCGUGGCGAAGGCGGCCAUCUGGAUCAACACUGACGCUGAGGCACGAAAGCGUGGGGAGCAAACAGG
rnacentral:rRNA from 1 species